rnacentral:ncRNA from 1 species
UAUGAUUAGCUAUUUAUAGCUAGGAUUGUAUAGAGGGUAGUGGCAGUCGCCCCAACUCCGACAAAUGCGUGAGAAUUUAAUUUUUUCGUACAUUUGUAAGGUGAGAAACAACUAACAAGUUGGAAACUUUGAUUUUAUCAAGAAAUUGAGGAACUGU